GACCCCUUCGUCUAUCGGUUAGGACACAAGAUUUUCAUUCUUGUAAGAGGGGUUCGAUUCCCCUAGGGGUCGCCA
rnacentral:tRNA from 2 species